GCGAGCCAGCGAACGAGGCACUGCCACGGCAGAGGAAACUCCUCCCUCCAUGCAGCAAACGUGACCUGGCGACAGGUAGUCAGAGAUGACUGGAAUCAGAACAGAAAACCAUCAAAGCUGGGGCACCGUGAUGGCAAUGCCUGAGAUUCCCAGCGGAGAAUGAAAGAUCUGUACCACGUGGAGAAAGGCCAAAUCAAACUAAGCGCUGCACUUUGUUUAGGUAGGCCGCAUAGCGGAAUCUCGUAAAACAGAAGGAGGGUUACGGCUGGCACGC
rnacentral:RNase_P_RNA from 1 species